GGAGAGGUGGCAGAGCGGUCGAAUGCGGCGGUCUUGAAAACCGCAGGGCGCAAGCCCCGUGGGUUCGAAUCCCACCCUCUCCGCCA
rnacentral:tRNA from 1 species